rnacentral:rRNA from 1 species
GUGGGGAAUAUUGGUCAAUGGGCGAGAGCCUGAACCAGCCAAGUAGCGUGAAGGAAGACUGCCCUACGGGUUGUAAACUUCUUUUGUACGGGAAUAAAGUGGGCCACGUGUGGCUUUUUGCAUGUACCGUACGAAUAAGGACCGGCUAAUUCCGUGCCAGCAGCCGCGGUAAUACGGAAGGUCCGAGCGUUAUCCGGAUUUAUUGGGUUUAAAGGGAGCGCAGGCGGAAUGUUAAGUCAGCUGUGAAAUCCCGUCGCUCAACGGCGGAACUGCAGUUGAUACUGGCUUUCUUGAGUGCACAUAAGGAUGGUGGAAUUCGUGGUGUAGCGGUGAAAUGCUUAGAUAUCACGAAGAACUCCGAUUGCGAAGGCAGCCAUCUGGGGUGCAACUGACGCUGAGGCUCGAAAGUGCGGGUAUCAAACAGG